GGUGGUAAUGCCGGAUGCUCCGACUCCUCGCAUGGGGUGUCGGGAAAGAUUUCAUCGGUAUGGGAUGGGGUCGCGUCCUAUCAGGUAGUCGGCGGGGUAACGGCCCACCGAGCCUACGACGGGUAGCCGGCCUGAGAGGGCGACCGGCCACAUUGGGACUGAGAUACGGCCCAGACUCCUACGGGAGGCAGCAGUGGGGAAUAUUGCACAAUGGGCGCAAGCCUGAUGCAGCGACGCCGCGUGCGGGAUGACGGCCUUCGGGUUGUAAACCGCUUUUGAUCGGGAGCAAGCCUUCGGGUGAGUGUACCUUUCGAAUAAGCACCGGCUAACUACGUGCCAGCAGCCGCGGUAAUACGUAGGGUGCAAGCGUUAUCCGGAAUUAUUGGGCGUAAAGGGCUCGUAGGCGGUUCGUCGCGUCCGGUGUGAAAGUCCAUCGCUUAACGGUGGAUCUGCGCCGGGUACGGGCGGGCUGGAGUGCGGUAGGGGAGACUGGAAUUCCCGGUGUAACGGUGGAAUGUGUAGAUAUCGGAAAAGAACACCA
rnacentral:rRNA from 1 species